rnacentral:lncRNA from 1 species
UGUUUCAAACACAUAUCAGCCGCUACCUAAUAUUUGUCUCUCUCUUUAAGAUCCAACAAAGCAACAAAGCAACAAAGCACCAAACCUACUUUCUUUUCUCUGUGAAUCGAAAACUCAGCAAGUAACAACACAACUAUUGCCUUAAUCCUUCUCUUCUACUCUUUUCUAGAUAUUUUACGGUAAUGAAGGAGGUGGUGGUUCGUGGUGUUGAGUUGCGGCGGUCGGGGGUGAUGACCGGAUUCUAAAGUGAUGGUGGUUGUCGGUGUUCCGGUGGACGAACGACGGGGGGAGGUGUAGGGUUGUUGAGACAAGUGGGUUUUGGUUCGGUGGUAGAUUGUGGUUGAAGAUGACGGUAGUGUGAGCGGCCGACGGUGGUCGGAGUACAACAGAUUAGGUGGUUCGAGUGGAGGUGUAGGGGUGGAUUGGUGAUGGUGAGGUUGUACGGUUGUGAAGAUAAAGGUGUACGAGUGGUUGCAGGUGAGUUGUUGCAGGUGAAUGAUGGUUGGAGACGACAGUGAUAACUUGAAGCCACGAAUCAAAAACUUCUUUUCGGAUGUUUGUACAGGAGAGUAAUGUGAUAUUAAUGUGAGAUGUGGGGAUUUGAAUUUGAGGAAGGUGGUAAGUGUUGGGGUUGAUUGAGGUUGGGUGAUGAUACGGUGUGAGAUUUGAUUUGAGCUGUGAGUUUUCUCCGUACAGGCGGCGGCGCCGGAAAAGUUAUCCGGAACCCUAAUCUAAUGGCCGGAAGUUUGCCGGAGACAGAGGGUUUCAAAACAGUGUGAAUAUAUAUGUAUUUGAUUUGAUAUUAUCUUUCUCUACCCCUUUC